rnacentral:tRNA from 1 species
GGGUAGGUGGCGGAAUCAAGGUAGACGCGGUAGGUUUAGAACCUACUGCCAAUUUUUGGCGUGUGGGUUCGAAUCCCACCCUACCCA